CUUUGGGCAGGAUCUUGGCUGUGCUUUGUCUGUCUAGCUUCAUGCCUAAGUUUGCCAAGAGCCCUGAUCCAGGUGAAGUGUGUAAACCUUGCACGUGGAAUUCCCAGCAAAGAAGCUGUAGGGAUCGGGAUAGGGCCUGGGAAGUGUCUGACUUACAGAAACCCACCAUGUCUUGUUCUCUGCUGGAGACCUCUGCUUCUCCAUCUUGUGAACAUCCACAGGCCCCCUGCACCGUAAUCUUGCC
rnacentral:lncRNA from 1 species